CCUGCCCCAGUCGUGUUGCAGGUGUGGCUGCAGUGCCACAUUUGUGUCAUUAGGUGGCAGAAAGGAAAAGGCAGUGUCUGCUAGUGCUCUGAAACCCGUGAGCACUCAGGAGUGACAGGCAACCUGACAGA
rfam:Colinus virginianus strain Texas jcf7180006227067, whole genome shotgun sequence.